UUGAGAAGAUGAGAGUCUGGGUUUCUGCAGCCAUGUUGUCACCAUGAGGGGAGAGUCUUGAGUGGCCAGGAAUCACCACAGGGAAAAAGAGUGGAGCCAAGGCACUUUACUACAUGAUCUCAUUCACAUCUCCUGUCCCCACCCAGCCCUGAGAGGAGAAGAGCCUUACUAUUAUCUCCAUUUUCCAGAUGAGAAAAACAACGCUCAGAGAAGAUGCUGAGGUCAGCAGAUCUGAAGAUGACCGAGGAAGGGUGGAGAGUGGUACCCAGGAGGUGGUCACGGC